UUUUUUUUUCGGAUUCGACUCUCUGAUUGGUCGCUUUUCCUUUUGCCAGGUCAGCGGUUGCCACGUGGAGACAGGUAGGAUCUCGUUUUCAUGAAUGCUCCUCGUAACUUUUGAACCUUUAAACUGGAUUAUUUCGAGCUAAUUAAAGAUUACAUCAUAAUUAACUUGAUAUGAAUGUUUUGCAAUAAGUUGACAAUUAAAUAUUCCGACCAGAAAAAAAAAAAAAAAAAUCUUUCUUAUUAUCGCCGUGCGGUGCCGGUCACCGACUAGACGGCGGACGAAUUUAGGGCAACACCAGUUAGUCGAAUGACGAAAACACCCUUCUUGUUUAUGAACCCAAUCAAACCCCAAAUGGGCUUUUCACUUUCAGAUCUCUGGGCUAUAACUGAUAAAAUACUGUAUUAUUUCUUAUUACUUUUUUUUUUUUCCCAAGAAACGAGUUUUGUUAUUUUGGAAAAGAGAAAUGGAGAGCGGUUAUUACGAAAAAAAGCAUGGUAUUGUGUGGAGCAGAACUUACCCAGAUUAUUGACUGUUGAUGACCUCAUCAUUAACUAAUCAGAAACUUUUAAUUGAAAAAACUCUUUUUGAUCACAAUCCCACACCAAAAAAAAAAAAGUGAAUGAAUUUAACAAAACUAAUUAAACUGAAUAAUUUCUCAGAAACAAAGAAGAACACUAAUAAAAG
rnacentral:lncRNA from 1 species